rnacentral:rRNA from 1 species
GAUGAACGCUGGCGGCGUGCCUAAUACAUGCAAGUCGAGCGAACGGACGAGAAGCUUGCUUUUCUGAUGUUAGCGGCGGACGGGUGAGUAACACGUGGAUAACCUACCUAUAAGACUGGGAUAACUUCGGGAAACCGGAGCUAAUACCGGAUAAUAUUUCGAACCGCAUGGUUCAAAAGUGAAAGACGGUCUUGCUGUCACUUAUAGAUGGAUCCGCGCUGCAUUAGCUAGUUGGUGAGGUAACGGCUUACCAAGGCAACGAUGCAUAGCCGACCUGAGAGGGUGAUCGGCCACACUGGAACUGAGACACGGUCCAGACCCCUACGGGAGGCAGCAGUAGGGAAUCUUCCGCAAUGGGCGAAAGCCUGACGGAGCAACGCCGCGUGAGUGAUGAAGGUCUUCGGAUCGUAAAACUCUGGUAUUAGGGAAGAACAUAUGUGUAAGUAACUGUGCACAUCUUGACCGGACCUAAUCAGAAAGCCACGGCUAACUACGUGGCAGCAGCCGCGGUAAUACGUAAGUGGCAAGCGUUAUCCGGAAUUAUUGGGGCGUAAAGCGCGCGUAGGCGGUUUUUUAGUCUGAUGUGAAAGCCCACGGCUCAACCGUGGAGGGUCAUUGGAAACUGGAAAACUUGAGUGCAGAAGAGGAAAGUGGAAUUCCAUGUGUAGCGGUGAAAUGCGCAGAGAUAUGGAGGAACACCAGUGGCGAAGGCGACUUUCUGGUCUGUAACUGACGCUGAUGUGCGAAAGCGUGGGGAUCAAACAGGAUUAGAUACCCUGGUAGUCCACGCCGUAGACGAUGAGUGCUAAGUGUUAGGGGGUUUCCGCCCCUUAGUGCUGCAGCUAACGCAUUAAGCACUCCGCCUGGGGAGUACGACCGCAAGGUUGAAACUCAAAGGAAUUGACGGGGACCCGCACAAGCGGUGGAGCAUGUGGUUUAAUUCGAAGCAACGCGAAGAACCUUACCAAAUCUUGACAUCCUUUGACAACUCUAGAGAUAGAGCCUUCCCCUUCGGGGGACAAAGUGACAGGUGGUGCAUGGUUGUCGUCAGUUCGUGUCGUGAGAUGUUGGGUUAAGUCCCGCAACGAGCGCAACCCUUAAGCUUAGUUGCCAUCAUUAAGUUGGGCACUCUAAGUUGACUGCCGGUGACAAACCGGAGGAAGGUGGGGAUGACGUCAAAUCAUCAUGCCCCCUAUGAUUUGGGCUACACACGUGCUACAAUGGACAAUACAAAGGGCAGCGAAACCGCGAGGUCAAGCAAAUCCCAUAAAGUUGUUCUCAGUUCGGAUUGUAGUCUGCAACUCGACUACAUGAAGCUGGAAUCGCUAGUAAUCGUAGAUCAGCAUGCUACGGUGAAUACGUUCCCGGGUCU